rnacentral:lncRNA from 1 species
AGAUGCCAGGGCGGAGGGUUUGCCGUCUAGUUUCGAAACGUUGAAGGAGACGACUGGGAAACUGCCUUCUAUCGCCUGCGCGCCUUUCCGAAUCUCGUCCAGGGGAAUCCACGCUCGCCCCGUAAACCGCCGACAUGUGUCGACGUGCGACUGUGCAGCGUCCACUGCCGAGCACACCAAAAAACCAUAGACGCCGAUUUUUUCGAUUUCUCCGCUCCUCUCCCCUUUUCUCCGCCGCUGCGCGCCUCCAGGGUGUCUUCGAUCUGCUGGAGACGCGUGUGUUCCGUCCGGAGUUUCAUGUCCUCUCUCUUUGUUCCCUCCCUCCUCGUUCUCCAGGAUAAAAGCUUUUCUCUUGGGUCCCAGAAGUGAUUGGCGAAUCGAGUAUGCAUCUGUUUCUGUGUCUGUCUAAUCGAGUAUGGUAUACAUAUACGUACAUGACCAUGAGUACACUUGAGAGCUCGUAUCUCGCAUCGCGUUUCUCUGACCUCCUCGAGGACGUCUUUUUUUCACGUUUUUCUUCUUUUUCGAGGAUUCGCUCUGACCUUUGUUGGCGGUUUUGCCUCGAGCAGGCGGCGCCUUUCCGUGUUUCGCACUUCCUUUUCCUCGUUCGUCGGUUUGCUCUCGCUUUGGUCGAGGGAGGAGAUACACCCACAGGCCGCCAACAGUGUCAACUGUGUAGAGGAGGUGAGAGAGAAAUUGCCUGCCACGGUAAAAGUGAACUUCCGACUGCUCGUUCCAGGUGAGUGCUGGACUCUUUGUUUCGCCCGGUCCGUCUUCAGCGGCAGCCUCA